CACCAACACCAGCACCGGUAUCGGCAACCGUGGCUCCUCCACCCUCAAUCCACACACCACCUACCCACCUCUCUCCCCUACUACUCUACUUGUGGCUUCUCCACAUGCACACCCCCCCAACCCAUACAUGGCCACCCACCCACUCCGCCUAUGGCUGCUCCAUGCGCGCACCAACCCCACCCCAUAUACUGCCACUCAUGACUCGUCUGCCCACCCCUGGGUGGUGCCCAUGGCUCCUCCGUCCUUUGUCCAUGCCCCCAC
rnacentral:lncRNA from 1 species